GCCCCCUUAGCUCAGAUGGCCAGAGCAUCUGUCUUGUAAACAGAGGGUCGCCGGUUCGAAUCCGGCAGGGGGCUCCC
rnacentral:tRNA from 5 species